UUGUUGAAUAAUGCUAAAAGUGUAGCCAACCAUUAUAAGCAAGGAAGUGCAAUUUGCAUAGCUUGGUUGUGCCUAAACACUAGCAAUUUGUUGUCUCAGUUUUCAAUCCAGCUUUUCACCGUGCUAUAAUAUUUGGUUUGGUUUAAUCUGAGUUUGGUCAUGCUAAGCACCUAAAUUCUAGCUUAGUUCAGUGCAUUUACACUUCUUUGAGUCAAUUUCAUAACUGUCCAGCC
rnacentral:lncRNA from 1 species